rnacentral:rRNA from 1 species
ACGCUCGACACCUACGGGAGGCAGCAGUGGGGAAUAUUGCACAAUGGAGGAAACUCUGAUGCAGCGACGCCGCGUGGAGGAAGAAGGUCUUCGGAUUGUAAACUCCUGUUGUUGAGGACGAUAAUGACGGUACUCAACAAGGAAGUGACGGCUAACUACGUGCAAGCAGCCGCGGUAAUCUGAGCGGGCUGGCAAGGC